AUCUCAAGCAUCACACAAGAGUUUUAUUUAAAUAACUUGUGCACGCCAAAACUGUAAAACUUCUAUGUAAUUAUCAUAAACUUCACAUGCGUCUGCAGACAUACUUGUUUGUAUUAUACCAUAUCUGCAAUGAUAACUGUGUGCCGAGAAGGUGGCCACCUUCUACGGUCACUGACCGGCCGAUACGCUAAACCGGCUCACGGUCCUAGACCGGCCGAUACGCUAAACCAGUUCACAGACCUAGACCGGCCGAUACGCUAAACCGGCUCACGGUCCUAGGCCGGCCGAUAUGCUUGAUCGGCUCACGGUCC
rnacentral:lncRNA from 1 species